UACGGGGGAUGCAAGCGUUAUCCGGAUUUAUUGGGUUUAAAGGGUGCGUAGGCGGAAUAUCAAGUCAGCGGUAAAAAUUCGGGGCUCAACCCCGUCGUGCCGUUGAAACUGAUGUUCUUGAGUGGGCGAGAAGUAUGCGGAAUGCGUGGUGUAGCGGUGAAAUGCAUAGAUAUCGAGAGGAACACUCGUGGCGAAGGCGGGUUCCUGGACAUUAACUGACGCUGAGGCACGAAGGCCAGGGGAGCGAAAGGG
rnacentral:rRNA from 1 species